AAGUCGUAACAAGGUUUCCGUAGGUGAACCUGCGGAAGGAUCAUUAAUUAUAUGUAAUUAUUAUGAUUAUAUUUAAUUAGCCACGUAAUUUUGGUAUUAGAUUAAGCUUCGGCUUAUGAUAAUGCUUAAAAUUUAAUGGCAUUCUUCUUUUUAGUUUCGAUCUUAUGAUUGAAGCGUUAAUUCAGGCCUAAAAACCUGAAUCUAUAUCAAUGUUAAAUUUAAUUUAUCAAAAUUGUAUUCUAAUUUAUUAAUUAAUUUUAAUUAUUUAAUAACUAAUAACAAUGGAUCUCUUGGCACUGAUAUCGAUGAAAAACGCAGC
rnacentral:misc_RNA from 1 species